rnacentral:rRNA from 1 species
UACGUAGGGGGCAAGCGUUGUCCGGAUUUAUUGGGCGUAAAGAGCGUGUAGGCGGUUCGGUAGGUCCGUUGUGAAAACUCGAGGCUCAACCUCGAGACGCCGAUGGAAACCAUCGAACUAGAGUCCGGAAGAGGAGAGUGGAAGUUCCUGGUGUGAGCGGUGAAAUGCGCAGAGUAUCAGGAAGAACACCCGUGGCUAAGGCGGCUCUCUAGUACGGUACUGACGCUGAGACGCGAAAGCGUGGGGAGCGAAACAGG